UCUGUCCAUGUAUGGUAACGAAAAGAAAGACCCUCCAGUGGAAUAGUCAAGUGUCUCAGUCACGCCAGUGAAUGUGAGUUAAUAUGGAGAUGCAGUUGAUAGUCCUGAUUGUCCUACACUUGGUCUCUUCAGUGUCCUCCACUAUGACCAGAGUGGUCAAACCUGGGGAGACUGUCUGUAUGUCCUGUAACGUACCUAUGAAGACCUCGACAAUGUGGUUUGGACAAGAGUGCAACAAGACGCCCUUUGUCAUCAUAUCGGCCAAACAAUAUGACGUUAACGAAAAGAAAGUUCUAAAUAAAUUCCUCCAUGGCAACAACAGUGCAUUCAGCACAAUGUUAGAGGACAAUGGCUCCAUCAGUCUGACCAUCACAAAGAUGAAUGAGUCUUUGCUAGGAUUCUACUAUUGUACUUCAGGAAUCGACAAAGAACUUACAGUUGGAUCCGGUUACAUUCUUGAAUAUGAGAAGGGCAGUGUUUCACCUAAAAGAGAUGAUGAUGAUGGAAACAAUGAAUCAGACAGAAUAAAAACAGCCCAGGGACACAGCGACGAUGUACAGGGUAUGGAACAGGAAGUGCAUUACACCUCCUUCUGUUUGUCAAAUGGAGAUCAUCGUGGCAAAAGAAAAAACACACAUCAUUAAUGUGAU